rnacentral:rRNA from 1 species
CCUACGGGAGACUGCAGUGGGGAAUAUUGGGCAAUGGGCGCAAGCCUGACCCAGCAACGCCGCGUGAGGGAAGAAGGCUUUCGGGAUGUAAACUUCUUUUCUGAAGGACGAAGAGAGUGACGGUACCUCCGGAAUAAGCCACGGCUAACUACGUGCCAGCAGCCGCGGUAAUACGUAGGUGGCAAGCGUUAUCCGGAUUUAUGGGUUGUAAAGGGCGUGUAGGCGGGAAAGCAAGUCAGAUGUGAAGACUCAGGGCUCAACCCUGAGCCUGAAUUUGAAACUGUUGUUCUUGAGUGCUGGAGAGGUAAUCGGAAUUCCGUGUGUAGCGGUGAAAUGCGUAGAUAUACGGAGGAACACCAGUGGCGAAGGCGGAUUGCUGGACAGUAACUGACGCUGAGGCGCGAAAGCGUGGGGAGCAAACAGGAUUAGAUACCCUUGUAGUC